rnacentral:rRNA from 1 species
GACGAACGCUGGCGGCGCGCCUAACACAUGCAAGUCGAACGGAGUCAAGAGGAGCUUGCUUUUCUUGACUUAGUGGCGAACGGGUGAGUAACGCGUGAGUAACCUGCCCUGGAGUGGGGGACAACAGUUGGAAACGACUGCUAAUACCGCAUAAGCCCACGGAUCUGCAUGGAUCUGCGGGAAAAGGAUUUAUUCGCUCCAGGAUGGACUCGCGUCCAAUUAGCUAGUUGGUGAGGUAACGGCCCACCAAGGCGACGAUUGGUAGCCGGACUGAGAGGUUGAACGGCCACAUUGGGACUGAGACACGGCCCAGACUCCUACGGGAGGCAGCAGUGGGGGAUAUUGCACAAUGGGGGAAACCCUGAUGCAGCGACGCCGCGUGGAGGAAGAAGGUUUUCGGAUUGUAAACUCCUGUCGUUAGGGACGAUAAUGACGGUACCUAACAAGAAAGCACCGGCUAACUACGUG